AAAAAUGGAGCGAGAAACCUUUUAGGAGAUUUGGAUAUACUUAUAAAUAUCCAAAAGGGAACCUAACGGAACUAUAUACAAAACAAUAAAGGACAUAUCAAGACUAAAUCGCUAUGCCCGUCCAGUGAAGCUCACUGUUUAACAUAUCCUAAACGGAAAAACCAUUCCUAUCAUUCGUAAAUUCACGAAAAUUUUUAAAUUAUAUACAAUUUUUUCCUCCUAGGAUUUAUUUGGCCUUGUAUUGAGUCGAACUUGACGACGAAGGAUUUUCACCUUCACUAGCAAUGCCUUCUUCUGAAUCAGAUUCGGGAUUACUAGGAGGAUGCAAUAUAGACUGUAGGUGGUUCAUUUGCUUUAAAGUUUCAUCAAAAAUAUCUUUUCUCAAAUUCCAUGCUUUUACAUAAUUCGCGUUUUCUUCUUCUAACUCACGAAUAGCAUCUUGCAACUUUCCUAUUGAUCUGUAAACCCGGUCAGUCUAAAAUAUUCAAUAUAAAUCUGGAAACUUACUCUUGUUGUUCUGUUCUUGAUCUCAAUCCUUUUGACAUUAUUGGCUUGGCCAACUCGUCGUAUUGUUCACGCUUUCUUAAUUCUUCUUGGGCAACUAGUAAAUCUUGCUCAAGCUGGCUUAUUUCGGUUUUUUCUGCUUCACAAAAUGUUUCUGAAAAUAUUAAUAAAAACAUCACUGUACUUAAAGUUACGAAUUUAAUCACAUACGAGUCUUCUUCAGUUCUCCUUCGUAAACAUCCACUUCUUUAGCAUUCAUGUCUAAUUGCAUUUGCAAUCGAAGCCAAAAAGCAGAGAGAGCAGAAAAUUCAAUUUCUAAAUCCCUUAAGUUUGCUUCGUCUACAUUUUGAGCAGCAAAACCAAGACACCGACUAAUCAACCGUUUCAAAGGCCGUUCUUCCACAGUUAAGCGCGAUCGAAUCGCCGUCUCUGACAUAUCGGUUAACUUAAUAUUUUCAAAAAAAA